rnacentral:rRNA from 1 species
CUAACGCGAGAAUUGACCGCCUGGGGAGUCGGCCGCAAGGUUAAAACUCAAAGGAAUUGACGGGGACCCGCCACGGUGGAUGAUGUGGAUUAAUUGAUGCAACGCGAAAAACCUUACCUGGUCUUGACAUGUCAGAACUUUCCAGAGAUGGAUUGGUGCCCGAAAGGGAGUGUAACACAGGUGCUGCAUGGCUGUGUCAGCUCGUGUCGUGAGAUGUUGGGUUAAGUCCCGCAACGAGCGCACCCUUCCUUAGUUGCUCCUUCAGUUGGCACUCUAAUGGACUGCCGGUGACAAACCGGAGGAAGGUGGGGAUGACGUCAAGUCCUCAUGGCCCUUAUGACCAGGGCUUCACACGUCAUACAAUGGUCGGUACAAGGGUAGCCAAGCCGCGAGGUGGAGCCAAUCUCAUAAAACCGAUCGUAGUCCGGAUCGCAGUCUGCAACUCGAUUGCGGAAGUCUGGACGCUAGAUGAGAGUGUG